CCUACGGGAGGCAGCAGUGAGGAAUAUUGGUCAAUGGACGAGAGUCUGAACCAGCCAAGUAGCGUGAAGGAUGACUGCCCUAUGGGUUGUAAACUUCUUUUAUAUGGGAAUAAAAUGUUCCACGUGUGGGAUUUUGUAUGUACCAUAUGAAUAAGGAUCGGCUAACUCCGUGCCAGCAGCCGCGGUAAUACGGAGGAUCCGAGCGUUAUCCGGAUUGAUUGGGUUUAAAGGGAGCGUAGGGGGAUUGUUAAGUCAGUUGUGAAAGUUUGCGGCUCAACCGUAAAAUUGCAGUUGAAACUGGCAGUCUUGAGUACAGUAGAGGUGGGCGGAAUUCGUGGUGUAGCGGUGAAAUGCUUAGAUAUCACGAAGAACUCCGAUUGCGAAGGCAGCUCACUGGACUGCAACUGACACUGAGGCUCGAAAGUGUGGGUAUCAAACAGGAUUAGAUACCCGGGUAGUC
rnacentral:rRNA from 1 species